GCAUUGGUGGUUCAGUGGUAGAAUUCUCACCUUGCAUAUGGGAGACCUGGGUUCAAUACCCAGCCAAGGCA